GACGAACGCUGGCGGCGUGCUUAACACAUGCAAGUCGAACGGAAAGGCCCUGCUUUUGUGGGGUGCUCGAGUGGCGAACGGGUGCGUAACACGUGAGUAACCUGCCCUUGACUUUGGGAUAACUUCAGGAAACUGGGGCUAAUACCGGAUAGGAGCUCCUGCUGCAUGGUGGGGGUUGGAAAGUUUCGGCGGUUGGGGAUGGACUCGCGGCUUAUCAGCUUGUUGGUGGGGUAGUGGCUUACCAAGGCUUUGACGGGUAGCCGGCCUGAGAGGGUGACCGGCGACAUUGGGACUGAGAUACGGCCCAGACGCCUACGGGAGGCAGCAGUGGGGAAUAUUGCACAAUGGGCGGAAGCCUGAUGCAGCAACGCCGCGUGCGGGAUGACGGCCUUCGGGUUGUAAACCGCUUUCGCCUGUGACGAAGCGUGAGUGACGGUAAUGGGUAAAGAAGCACCGGCUAACUACGUG
rnacentral:rRNA from 1 species